rnacentral:rRNA from 1 species
GACGAAGGAUGCAAGCGUUAUCCGGAUUCAUUGGGUUUAAAGGGAGCGUAGGCGGCCUGGUAAGUCAGUGGUGAAAUCUCGCAGCUUAACUGCGAAACUGCCAUUGAUACUGCUAGGCUAGAGUACAGAUGCUGUGGGCGGAAUAUGACAUGUAGUGGUGAAAUGCUUAGAUAUGUCACAGAACACCGAUAGCGAAGGCAGCUCACUAGGUCUGGAUUGACGCUCAGGGACGAAAGCGUGGGGAGCAAACAGG